rnacentral:rRNA from 1 species
GCCAGACUCCUACGGGAGGCAGCAGUGAGGAAUAUUGGUCAAUGGUCGGGAGACUGAACCAGCCAAGCCGCGUGAGGGAGGAAGGUACAGAGUAUCGUAAACCUCUUUUGUCAGGGAACAAAGGCGGGGACGUGUCCCCGGAUGAGUGUACCUGAAGAAAAAGCAUCGGCUAACUCCGUGCCAGCAGCCGCGGUAAUACGGAGGAUGCGAGCGUUAUCCGGAUUUAUUGGGUUUAAAGGGUGCGUAGGCGGUUCGUUAAGACGGUGUUCAAUUGGGGGGGCUCAACCCCUCCCCGCCAUUGAAACUGGCGCUCUUGAGUGGAAGAGAAGUAUGCGGAAUGCGUGGUGUAGCGGUGAAAUGCAUAGAUAUCACGCAGAACCCCGAUUGCGAAGGCAGCUUACUAAACUGUGACUGACAUUGAUGCUCGAAAGUGUGGGUAUCAAACAGGAUUAGGUACCCCUGUA